rnacentral:lncRNA from 10 species
CUUAGUGCACACAUGAGUGUCUGUUAUAAUUAUUUGAAGUGUUUUUCAUUUUAAAAUAUUACACUAAAAUGAUAGAUAAUGAAGGAGGGAUUAUAUUUUACCACUGGGCCUUGGAAGAUAGACAUUGAGGUUCUUUCAAAAUAAUGUCAUGGCCAUUUUAUCCAGCUGCCGCUUCCUUAAGUUAUAGCCAUACAGCCCAUCUCAAUCCUACCAUAUUUGUCUCUCUUCCUCUCCUGCUUCAGAAGUGUUAAACAGGGUAAAUGCUUCAUAUUUUCUUAUGCAGAGCAAUUUAGUUUUUAAGGUGUUCUGCCCUCUCCUUCCAAACUCUUCCUGGGACAUAUUAUUUUGCAACUGUAUGGUAUUUUAGUAUGUAAAUGGUGUUUUGCCUUACCUAGACAGUUUCCUUCCUGAAAAGGGAUUUGAUGUCAUUUGUUAAGUGGUAAGGGGAGGGGGAAGGUAAUAACUAUAUAACCACAAAAAAAUCACAAAUACAUAUGUAAAAGCCAAAUGUUCCAUCCUUUGCAAACAAACAUACUGAAACCACUUCUUCCGUCUCAAUAGGGUGUGAGAUUUUGAGCUUAUUUUUGGUGAUGGUGAUGAUAGAGUUGAGAAAUAUUUGGGAGACCUUUUGCUGGAACUAGUCAUGGCCACGGGAUUUACAUUUUUUCUCAGUACAGCAUCAAGGAUGAAAUACAUGGGCUUAUAAGUCAAAAACCAAAAUCAAGUGAAUUUAUUCAUCUGCCUUUGCAGGCAUUCACACAGAGCACAGUUUAUAAGCUGAAAGCCCCACAUCUGCUGAACAAAAUUCCCCCCUUUGCCUAGCUGAAACUGUCCUCCAUGUAUCAAUCAAUGGAAGAGCAAAUGCCAGCCAUUGAGAUUUAUCGACAUGUCACAAUGCAGAAUCAAUUACUUUAGUUUGAAAACAUUUUUGUCUGUUUCAUCACAACCCAAUAAUCAAAUUUCUUUUAUAAAACCUUUGAACUUUAUUUAAACCCAAAAUGUGAGCAGUAUGACUGCCAAAAUAACAAAUGCAAUUUUGAACUGCAUUAAUAUGGUGUCCAGAUCAAGGGGCAAUGUCAUAUAGCAGUGUUUCUCAAUUCUUUUGUCAUUAUCACUCUCUAAGGGGCCUAUUUAUACAUGUCUUUAUAAUUAUCACUUGCCCCAUGAAAUGUUUUGUGUAUAUGUCUGGGAUUUAUAUUUUAAAAGUAUGUUUUUUUGCCCACCAAGAACCAAUUUUUACCCCCUUGGGAAUGAUAGCUCCCCUCUUGAGAAUACAUGCUGAAUGGCAAGGCCUCCGAUUAUAUUAAACUUACACAUUGAUUUUAGAACCUAUCUUUAUCCCCCUUCUUGUUUAAUUCUCAUGCAACACAAAUAAUUAAUAUAUAUUAUAGAGCUUAAUAUUUAAUCACAAUGAAGUAAUAUUUCAGGCAAAUAGAACCAAUUGAGUAUUUUCUAUCCAUGCUUCAUUCAUCACUGGUGAUUUGAUUAUUACCUUAAAGACAGAAUGUUUUAAAUGUGCAGGUGUCUGUAUAUCAACUUUCUUUGUUUUGCAUUCUUUAGUCAACAUAGUGGUUCUCAAAUUUUAAUGAGCAGAAGAAUUUCUGGACAGAAUUAUAUACAAUAUCUUAUGUAAUCUCUAUUAUGAGUCAGUUAAGGGCUUUUUCAGAGGUAAUUUUGGUUAUUCUCAAUUCUCACCUUCCAGCCUAAUUUUAGAACCUAACAAUUACAUGAUUCCACACAAUUCUAUACAUUCUUCAGAACUUAGUGGAGCCUGGGUUCAGUUCUGAGCACUGGUUUUAAGAGAGACAAUCACAAACUAAAUUAUGCUUUCCUAGAAGAUCACAAUCAUAGCAUGAAAAAAAAAAAAGAUUGUAUUAACUAGGGAACAGUUAGCCUGAGAAAAGAAUGCUUAGGGAAGCCCUAAUAACUGUCCUCAAAUAUUUGAAUAACUAGCAAGAGGUAUUAAACAUUAGAGUGAACAAGUGAAAGAUAGCGCAAUAUGCUUGCUACUUUGGCAUAAGGAUUAUUAAGAAGCAGAUAUAAGAAAAGCUCUUGCCCUCAUCAGAGACAGUGCUAGACCCUUCUCAGUCCAAAGGUGGGCACCAGAAAAAUUUACAUAACAAAACUUUGCUAACAUUAGCCCUUACUUACCAUUAGUUUCCCCCAUAUGUUUGCCUUCUCACAAUUUGUUACCUCGACAAACUCAAAGUCCUUUUCCUUUGUCUUGUCACUUCCCUCAAAAAACUUGUAUUGUGUUUUGUUAAGAUGCUAUAUAAACCCAAGUUCUAACUACCCCUUUGAGUUGCUCAUCACUGGGUGCUCCCACAUAUAUGCACAAUGCACAUGCUAAUAAACUUCUGUUUAUUUUUUUCUUGUUAAUCUGUCUUUUUGUUUUUGGAUUUUGUUGUUGUUGUUGUUGUUGUUGUUGAGACAGAGUUUUGCUCCUG